rnacentral:rRNA from 1 species
CAGCAGCCGCGGUAAUACCUAGGUGGCAAGCGUUGUCCGGAAUUAUUGGGCGUAAAGCGCGCGCAGGUGGUUUAAUAAGUCUGAUGUGAAAGCCCCCGGCUCAACCGGGGAGGGUCAUUGGAAACUGGGAAACUUGAGUGCAGAAGAGGAGAGUGGAAUUCCACGUGUAGCGGUGAAAUGCGUAGAGAUGUGGAGGAACACCAGUGGCGAAGGCGACUCUCUGGUCUGUAACUGACGCUGAGGAGCGAAAGCGUGGGGAGCGAACAGGAUUAGAUACCCCUGUAGUCCCUGUCUCUUAUAC